rnacentral:rRNA from 1 species
AGUGGCGAACGGGUGAGUAACACGUGGGUAACCUGCCCAUCAGAAGGGGAUAACACUUGGAAACAGGUGCUAAUACCGUAUAACAAUCGAAACCGCAUGGUUUUGAUUUGAAAGGCGCUUUCGGGUGUCGCUGAUGGAUGGACCCGCGGUGCAUUAGCUAGUUGGUGAGGUAACGGCUCACCAAGGCCACGAUGCAUAGCCGACCUGAGAGGGUGAUCGGCCACAUUGGGACUGAGACACGGCCCAAACUCCUACGGGAGGCAGCAGUAGGGAAUCUUCGGCAAUGGACGAAAGUCUGACCGAGCAACGCCGCGUGAGUGAAGAAGGUUUUCGGAUCGUAAAACUCUGUUGUUAGAGAAGAACAAGGAUGAGAGUAACUGUUCAUCCCUUGACGGUAUCUAACCAGAAAGCCACGGCUAACUACGUGCCAGCAGCCGCGGUAAUACGUAGGUGGCAAGCGUUGUCCGGAUUUAUUGGGCGUAAAGCGAGCGCAGGCGGUUUCUUAAGUCUGAUGUGAAAGCCCCCGGCUCAACCGGGGAGGGUCAUUGGAAACUGGGAGACUUGAGUGCAGAAGAGGAGAGUGGAAUUCCAUGUGUAGCGGUGAAAUGCGUAGAUAUAUGGAGGAACACCAGUGGCGAAGGCGGCUCUCUGGUCUGUAACUGACGCUGAGGCUCGAAAGCGUGGGGAGCAAACAGGAUUAGAUACCCUGGUAGUCCACGCCGUAAACGAUGAGUGCUAAGUGUUGGAGGGUUUCCGCCCUUCAGUGCUGCAGCUAACGCAUUAAGCACUCCGCCUGGGGAGUACGACCGCAAGGUUGAAACUCAAAGGAAUUGAC